rnacentral:rRNA from 1 species
UUCCGGAUGGUUGUUUGAACCGCAUGGUUCAAACAUAAAAGGUGGCUUCGGCUACCACUUACAGAUGGACCCGCGGCGCAUUAGCUAGUUGGUGAGGUAACGGCUCACCAAGGCAACGAUGCGUAGCCGACCUGAGAGGGUGAUCGGCCACACUGGGACUGAGACACGGCCCAGACUCCUACGGGAGGCAGCAGUAGGGAAUCUUCCGCAAUGGACGAAAGUCUGACGGAGCAACGCCGCGUGAGUGAUGAAGGUUUUCGGAUCGUAAAGCUCUGUUGUUAGGGAAGAACAAGUACCGUUCGAAUAGGGCGGUACCUUGACGGUACCUAACCAGAAAGCCACGGCUAACUACGUGCCAGCAGCCGCGGUAAUACGUAGGUGGCAAGCGUUGUCCGGAAUUAUUGGGCGUAAAGGGCUCGCAGGCGGUUUCUUAAGUCUGAUGUGAAAGCCCCCGGCUCAACCGGGGAGGGUCAUUGGAAACUGGGGAACUUGAGUGCAGAAGAGGAGAGUGGAAUUCCACGUGUAGCGGUGAAAUGCGUAGAGAUGUGGAGGAACACCAGUGGCGAAGGCGACUCUCUGGUCUGUAACUGACGCUGAGGAGCGAAAGCGUGGGGAGCGAACAGGAUUAGAUACCCUGGUAGUCCACGCCGUAAACGAUGAGUGCUAAGUGUUAGGGGGUUUCCGCCCCUUAGUGCUGCAGCUAACGCAUUAAGCACUCCGCCUGGGGAGU